rnacentral:lncRNA from 1 species
AGACUGCGGCCGAGACGGGGAGGGGGAAGCCUCGCCUGGGGGGCGGCAGUGGCCUGGGCGGCUCUCCGGCUGCUGUUGUAUGGCUGCACGUUGGCGCUACCGGACGGGAUGCUGUAUCCCCGAGAGAGCCCGUCGUGGCAGCGCAAGCAGCUGGACGGCCUCUGAAGCUUCCGCGCCGACUUCUCCGACAACCGACGCCGGGGCUUCGAGGAGCAGAGGUACCGGCGACCGCUGUCGGAGGCGCGGACUCGGGGCAGGGCCAGGAGUCGCCCGGAAGCCCGGCGGUGGGAAUGGGUCAGGCCCCACCGUGGACAUGCCGGUUCCCUCCAGCUUCAACGACAUCGGCCAGGGCUGGCGGCUGCGGCAUUUUGUCAGCUGGUUGUGGUAUGAACGGGAGGUGACCCUGCUGGAGCGAUGGAUCCAGGACCUGUGCACAAGAGUGGUGCUGAGGAUUGGCAGUGCCCACUUCUAUGCCAUCGUGGUAUCCCAAGGGUUACUUUGUCCAGAACACAGACUUUGACUUCUUCAGCUACGCAGGACUGCUGUGGUCUCUGCUUCUAUACACGACACCCCCCACCUACAUCGAUGACGUCACCGUCACCACCGGCGUGAAGCGAGACAGUGGUGAGGGCUUCUGGACUGGAUGGAGGACCUGAAGACGUGAGGUGGAGGCACAGGUAGAAGAGAAGAUUCUCACCAUCGCUGAUUCACACAAAAGCAUUUCUCCAAGUGGUUGCAGAUGACAUGAUUUCCCAAAGUGUUAGAGCUGAAGUGUGUUUCCUUGUGUAUAUAUACUGUGGUUCCUUUAUCCCUUCAUCUGUGGAUAGACAGGUGCAACCGUGUGGUUCCCCACGAUAUGAUUUCAUUGUGGUUUUCUGUCUGAAGAGUAUCCCAGUAUGUACCUGUGGAGCAGCUUCUUUAUCCCUUCAUCUGUGGAUAAGCAGUGCAGGCCAAGGCCCCCUGCCCAUGGAGGUGUGCUGCAGACAGCAGCAGCAGCAGCAGCAGCAGCAGCAGCAGCAGCAGAGGCCUGGCUUCCUGAGGAAUUGCUGGCCGGUUUGAGGAAGGAAGGAAGUCCCACCUACCAUGAUCACCCUCCAGCCUGGAGGAAGCUCCAUGCCAGCAGCAUGGACCAGCAUGGGAGCCAGAGCCCUGCUAAUGCUGCAGCUCAUCACCCCUGCUCAGCAGCCCAGCAGCCCAGCAGCCAUUGCCACAUCCCAUUUCCAGGGCCUCCUGCCCCCAUGCCCCCACGUGCCCAUGGACCGACACACCACUCUUCCUGUUGGCCCAAGUCUGGAGAAACAGCUACGGCCAUCCCAGCCCUGGCCAAGGGGAAAAUGCCGGAAGACUCCAGGGUGGGAGGAAGCGCGUCCCAAGGCCCAGGAUCUGCGAGGCGACUUGGGGAAAACGCAGGCAGGAUCCACCUCUGAUGUUCAGUGAAGACUACCAGAAAAGUCUGCUAGAGCAGUACCAUCUGGGUCUGGAUCAAAAACUCAGAAAAUACGUGGUUGGAGAGCUCAUCUGGAAUUUUGCCGAUUUCAUGACUAACCAGUGUAAGCGGCAGUUUGGCUCAUAGGAUAAUGUACCCGUCCUCAUUUUUUCAGGUUGCCUUGCCCAUUCUGGACACUUUGAUUGUAAGAAUAUUGGAAACAAAGCGAGGAGCUGGUUUAAUCCAUGCAGGUUGCGUUGAGGAUUUCCUAGGAAAACCAAGGAGGAAGGAAAAACUGGACCUCAUGGAUUUACUUUAGGAAGGUACAAAGCCUGAGAAGCUUAAGGUAUUUCAGUCUGUUUUAUAUUACUCACUUGCAAAAAGCAGGCUCAUCGAAUACAGGUGAGUUUCAACACAUCUUGAAUAUGGCAGCAUUUAAAAGUCUUUAGACUGGGCAUGGUGACUCAUGCCUGUAAUCCCAGCACUUUGGGAGGCCAAGGUGGGAGGAUCAUUUGAGGCCAGGAGUUCGAGACCAGUCUGCUAAGCAUAGCAAGACCCCUUCUCUACAAAAAGUAAGCAAAUUAGCUAGGUGUGGUGGUGUGUUCCUGUAGUUCCAGCUGCUUGGGUGGCUGAGGCAGGCAGAUCGCCUGAGCACAGGAGUUGGGGGCUGCAGUGAGCUAUGAUUACACCACUGCACUUGAGCCAGGGUGACAGAGUGAGACCUGUCUUAAAAAAAAAAAAAAGGGGGUCUUCAAAGACAAGAACAUCUGUGCUGUCACGUUGGGUGGAUGAGGGGCUGCCAGGUUUGCAAUGAAUGUUUCCCAUUUCUUCUUAGUUUAUGGACUUACCAUAAACUCAGGAUGGCAGUUUGGUGGGUUGGAGAAGGAUAUGGUGAUUGCGGGAGUUACAAGACAUUACUUAUAGGGGAAAACAGGGUUUUGAAAGGUUAACGCUUAAAAGUGAGAAUGGAAAAGGGAUGAAUGAAUGAACAAGAUGAGGUGAGAUGGAAGAGGUAAAGGGAAAAGGAGAACAAGCAGCUCUUCUCUGCGUGGCGCCUGGGAUGAAUGGUUUCUGGGGACAUCCCUGAUGGCAGUUUUGUGGAGAGGCGCAAAACUUUAUGUGGUAAGAAAUGAGCUGUAGGCCCAGCGCAGUGACCCACGCCUGUAAUCCCAGAACUUUGGGAGGCCGAGGAGGGCGGAUCACUUGAGGUCAGGAGUUCAAGACCAGCCUGGCCAACAUGGAGAAACCUUGUCUCUACUAAAAGUACAAAAAUUAGGCAGGCGUGGUGGCAAGUGCCUGUAAUCCCAGUUACUCGGAAGGCUAAGGCAUGAGAAUCGCUUGAACCCGGGAGGUGGAGGUUGCGGUGAGGGAAGAUCGCACCUUUGCACUCCAGCCUGGGCAACAAGAGCAAAACUCUGUUUUAAGAAAAAAAAAAAGAAAACAAAAGAAACGGGCCAGGCGGGCUGGGCGCAGUGGGUCAGGCCUGUUAUCCCAGCACUUUGGGAAGCCGAGGUGGGCGGAUCACGAGGUCAGGAGUUGGAGACCAGCCUGGCCAACAUGGUGAAAUCCCGUCUCUACUAAAAAUACAAAAAUUAUCUGGGCAUGGUGGCUGCUGCCUGUAAUUCCAGAUACUUGUUAGGCUGAGGCAGAAUUGCUUGAAUCCAGGCAAGUGAAGGUUGCAGUGAGGCCACUGCACUCCAGUCUGGGCAACAGAGUGAGACUCCAUAUCUAAAAAUAAAAUAAAAUGGAGGAGGAGGAAGAGGAAGAGGAGAAAAAAGAAGAAGAAACAGCUAGGUGCAGUGGCUCAUGCCUGUAAUCUCAGCAAUUUGGGAGGUGGAGGAGGAGCAGGAGGAGGAAAAGGAAACAACCAGGCCAGUCAUGGUGUCUCGUGCCUACGAGGAGGAGGAGGAAGCGGAGGAGGGGAAAAAAAAGGAGGAGGAAAAAGAAACGGAGCAGAAGGAGUUGGAGGAGGAGGAGGUGGAGGAGGAGGAGGGAAAAGAAAUGGAGCAGGAGGAGGAGGGAAAAGAAAUGGAAGAGGAGGAGCAGGAGGAAAAUGAAAUGGAGGAGGAGGAGGAGGAAAAAGAAAUGGAGGAGGAAAAAGAAACAGGAGGAGGAAAAAGAAACGGAGGAGGAAGAGGAGGAGGAGGACAAAGAAACAGCCAGGCCGGACGUGGUGGCUCACCCCUGUAGUCCCAGCUGCUCGGGAGGCUGAGGCAGAAGAAUCGCUUCAACCCGGGAGGCAGAGUUUGCGUGAGCCGAGAUCGUGCCACUGCAUUCCAGCCUGGAGACAGAGUGAGACUCCAUCUCAUCUCAAAAAAAACAAAAGAAAACAAAACAAAAACAAAAAAACAGCCAGGAGCCGUGGCUCACGCCUGUAAUCCUAGCAAUUUGGGAGGCGAUAAGAAUUAUUGAAAUGCAAUAAGAAUUACCGAAAUGUUGAACAAAGACACCAAGUGAGCACGUGCUGUUGGAAAAAUAGCACCAAUACUACACUAGCUCAACACAAGGUUGCCACAAUCCUGUAAUAUAUUAAAAAUUGGGCCAGGCAAGGGGCCGGGAGGGGUGGCUCACACCUGUAAUCUCAGCACUUUGGGAGGCCAAGGCAGGCGGAUCACCUGAGGUCAGGAGCUCCAGACCAGCCUGGCCAACAUGGUAAAACCCCAUCUCUACUAAAAAUACAAAAAUUGGCUGGGGGUGGUGGUGGGUGCCUGUAAUCCUAGCUACUAUGUAGGCUGAGGCAGGAGAACCACUUGAACCCGGGAGGUGGAGGUUACAGUGAGCCAAGAUCAUGCCAUGGCACUCCAGCCUGGGUGACAAGAGCAAAACUUCAUCUCAAAAAAAAAGAAAAGAAAAGAAAAACAAAAUGGGCCAGGCGGGCUGGGUGCAGUGGCUCAUGCCUGUAAUUCCGGCACCUUUGGGAGGCUGAGAUGGGUGGAUCACGAGGUCAGAAGUUUGAGACCAGCCUGGCCAACAUGGUGAAACCACAUCUCUACUAAAAAUAGAAAAAUUAUCCUGGCGUGGUGGCAAGCGCUUGUAAUCCCAGCUACUCGGGAGGUUGAGGCAGGAGAAUUGCUUGAACCUGGGAGGUGGAGGUUGUAGUGAGUGAAGAUCUUGCCACUGCACUCCAGCCUGGGCAACAGCCAGACUCUGUCUCAAAACAAACCAACACAAACAAACAAAAACAAACCCCAAAACCAAAAUUGAUAUUUCCCGUGUACAUUCGACCUUGACUGUUGCUCAUUCAACCCAGCCCAACUCAGUGCCCCAUCCCCUGGCCCUGAAGAGACCAUUCUGGCCCAGAAGUGUCCUGGCUCGGAGCAGCACCUUCUGCUACCACACUGGGCCUCCCUUCUCCUCAGUGCCCAAGGGGAGGCACCUCACUCUGAUCUCCCAGUGGCAUCCUAUUAUGCCUGCCAGUAAGGAUAGGCGCUUGGUCCUAGAGCAGAGUGGUCUGCCGUUGGACCAGCCCAGCACUCCAGGUGACCUCAGCCUGCCCCAGGCCUUCCUGUAGGUUGGCACUAAUUGGUUUGGCUGCAGCCUUGCAUAUUUAGCAGUUUUUAUUACUAAUAAUACAGGCAGGGUGGCCCAGGACCCCGCUGGGGGAGGUACUGCCAGGCUCCCAGCUGAGGGGCAGGCUGGCUCCAAUUCUGACUGGCUGGCCCCAGUGAUCAGAAAGAUCCAGGCCCCACCUAGUGCUUUGCUGGAGAUCUAGGCUUGGUGGGGCAGCUUGUGGGGUAAGGGGCAGGACCAGCUCAAAAGACGGGGUGGGGGCGGAGGCUCCCUCUGCAGGGCAGAGUCCUUUGGCAGCUGGGGCUGUUGGGCAUGGAGGGGUCAGUUCACAGCUCAGGGCCAGAGCACGGUAGAGGUCUCUGGGUGCACACAAGAACCAGGAGUGGAGCUGAAACAUGUCCUGUCCCCUGCCUGCCCUCCCUUAGUAACUGCUGGCAUUUCCCAAUUCCUUCCUGAGCACCAGGCACCAUGUUAUGCAUGCAAUUUGCAAAUGUUACCUGAUUGAAUGCUCAAAACAAGGCUAUCACAUAGGUACUGUAUUAUUUUUCAGAAGAUGUCUUGCUCUGUCACCCAGGCUGGAGUGCAAUGGUGCCAUCUCUGUUCACUGCAACCUCCACCUCCAGGGUUCAGGUGAAUCUCCUGCUUCAGACUUUCAAGUAGCUGGGACUAUAGCUGCCCGCCACUGCGCCUGGCUAAUUUUUGUAUUUUCAGUAAAGACAGGGUUUCCCCAUGUUGGCCGGGCUGGUCUCAAACUCCUGACCUCAAGGGAUCCACCCAUCUGGGCCUCCCAACCCUGAGUUUUUAUAAUAGGCCCCAGGCCAGGUGGUUAACAGAGGUCUGGGGCAUUGCAGGGGGACAGAGGAGGACAUAUGUCCCUAUUGGCCAUUGUAGAGUCCCUUCCACAAAAAGGAUGUCAGUCAAGUGACGUGCCCACCUCCACCCCACCCUCCCCCCCAGUCCUGGGCACUAGGACUACUUCCCAGGUGCCCUGUACCCUUCCCCGAUCUGUCCCAUGCCCUGGCCUCUGCCCGCUUUCAAAACAUAGAUGUGGCCAGCGCCUUGGCUUAUGCCUAUAAUCCCAGCACUUUCGGAAGCAGAAGGAUUGCUUGAGCCCAGGAGUUCAAGACCAGCCUGGGCAACAUAGAUCCUGUCUCAACAUAUUUUCUGCAAAAUUUUUGUUUUUCCUAGACAGAGUCUCCUUCUGUCACCCAGGCUGGAGUGCAGUGGCACGAUCUUGGCUCACUGCAACCUCUGCCUCCCGGGUUCAAGCGAUUCUCCUGCCAAGCCUCCUGAGUAGCUGGGACUACAGGCGAGCACCACCAUGCCCAGCUAAUUUUUGUAUUUUUAGUAGAGACAGGAUUUCACCAUGUUAGCCAGGAUGGUCUCGAUCUCCUGACCUCGUGAUCCACCUGUCUCGGCCUCCCAAAGUUCUGGGAUUACAGGUGUGAGCCACCGCACCCAGCCCUACAAAAUUUUUCAAAAAUGUAUAGGUGUGGUGGCACAUGCUUGUAGUCCGAACUACUGGGGAAGCUGAGACAGGAGGAUUGGUUGAGCCCAGGAGUUUGAGGCCACAGUAAACUGUGAUGGCACCACUGCACUCCAGCCUGGGUAACAGAGUGAGACCCUGUCUCUAAAAAAGAAUUAAAAUUUUUUUUAAAUAACAAAAUGGGCUGGGCUCGGUGGCUCAUGCCUGUAAUCCCAGCACUUUGGAGGCUGAGGUGUGUGGAUCACUUGAGGCCAGGAGUUCAAGACCAGUCUGGCCAACAUGGUGAAAUCCCGUCUCUACUAAAAAUACAAAACUCAACCAGGUGUGAUGGCACAUACCUGUAAUUCUAGCUACUUGGGAGGCUGAGGCAGGAGAAUCGGCUUGAACCUGGGACACGGAGGUUGCAGUGAGCCGAGAUCGCACCACUGCACUCCAGCCUGGGCGACCAAGUGAGACUCCGUGUCUCAAAAAUAAGAACAAAAUGUAGAUGCCUACGUACCAUCUCUCUACCCUUGGCUCCUGGGGAGUAAGGGUCACCCAGUGACCUCCUAGAAGGCCAGUGACAAUGGGGGGUGUCAGAGUGCUCUUCAGAGCCAAGGGAGCAGUAGGAAUUGGGAUCUUAGUCUCUUAGUCUGACUCCAAGCUGUGAGGGAGAGAGUUGCAGGGCACUUAAGCUUGGUGGAGACCGUCAGUGCCUCCUUGCCUGUCCCUGCAGCAAAAGUUCAGGACACCAGAGCCAAGCUCAGAGGCCGUGGUGGAACAGGGGUGAAGAGCAUGGGUUCUGACUUUAAACUGCUGGGCUGCAGCCCUGGCUCUCCCUCCCCGGGUAAGGGCAGGCUGCAUGCCUCCCUGUGCCUCAGUUUCCCCCUCUUCAUAGUGGGAUUGUAUUGGUGCCUACCCCAGAGAGUUGUGUCAUCAAUUAGGAUGGCACCUGGCACCUUGGUCAGUGGCAGGAAAGGUUCCAGAAGCUCUGCUCUGGUCCCGGGGUGCCUCGGGCCCUGCCACCAUCUCCUUGGGGUGGUGCCAUGUGGUGGGAAAGACCCCAACUUCAAGGCCAGACGCAGUGGCUCAUGCCCAUAAUCCCAGCACUUUCAGAGGCCGAGAUGGGAGGAUCACCUGAGGUCAGGAGUUCAAGACCAGCCUGGCCAACAUGGUCAAACCCUGUCUGUACUAAUGAUCCAAAAAUUAGCCAGGUGUGGUGGUGCGUGUCUGUAAUACCAGCUACUCGGGAGGCUGAGGCAGGAGAAUCUCACGAACCCGGGAGGCGGAGGUUGCAGUGAGCCGAGGUUGCACUACUGCAGUCCAGCCUGGCUCUGUCUUGGUGUUCAGCCAUGUUCCCAUGCUCACUCCCAAGGUGACUCUGGGAAGGUCUCAGCCUUUUUGUCUUCCCAGUUAGGAUGGUCCCAUGCCCCUGCUACCAUCAGACUUGGUAAGUUUCCCAAGGAGACUCUGCAAGAGGCACUGUUCUGGAUGGUGGAGGAGAGACUAAUUGUUCUGCUCUCCUGGCCAGAGUGGGUGCAGUGGACCCCAUCAUGGAGAAGUUCAACACAUCCAGCCUACGACCAGCACCUGUGGGAGGUGGAUAUUCAAGGCAGCAGAGCCUACAGCCGGGGCAUGGAGAAGGCAGGGCUCCUCGCCAAGGCCGAGAUGGAUGGUGGUUGAGGAGUGGGCCCAGGGCACCUUCAAACUCAACCCCAAUGAUGAGGACAUCCACACAGCCAACAAGUGCCACCUGAAGGUACGAACCCUGCAGCCCCACUGCCUUCCUGGCCUCCCCUCUCCACCUUGCGCGGGGCCACUUUGAGCAUUAGCACCAUCAUUCUGUGAUCAUUGGUGAAACCGCAGGGAAGGCGCACAUGGGAUGGAGCUGGAAUGACCAGGUGGUCACGGACCUCAGGUUGUGGAUGUGGCAGACCUGCUUCACGCUCUCGGGCCUCCUCUGGGAGCUCAUCAGGACUAUGGGGGAUUGGGCAGAGGUGUUCCUGCUCCAGCGUGGCUCCUGGACUGGCGCCAGAUGCUGGCCCUGGGGGUUUCAAUCCAAGCAUAAUUCAGUGAAGCAUGUGUUUGGCAGUGGGACCCAGCUCACUGUUUUAGGUCAGCCCAAGACUACCCCGUCGGUCAUUCUGUUCCUGCCGUCCUGUGAGGAGCCCCAAGCCAACAAGGCCACACUGGUGUGUCUCAUGAAUAACUUUAUCCGGGAAUCUUGAUGGUGACCUGGAAGGCAGAUGGUACCCUCAUCACCCAGAGCGUGGAGAAGACCACGCCCUCCAAACAGAGCAACAACAAAUGGAGUCUCACUCUGUCGCCCAGGCUGGAGUGCAAUGGCUCGAUCUUGGCUCACCGUAACCUCUGUCUCCCAGGUUCAACCAAUUCUCCUGCCUCAGCCUCCUGAGUAGCCGGGAUUACAGGCAGCAACUGGAAACAACCCAAGUGUCCGUCAGCUAGAGAAUGGAUAGACCCAUGUGGUCUGUGCAUACAGUGGAGUACUGCUCAGUUACACAAGGAAAAGAAACUAUGGAUACAGGUCACAGGAGGGAUGAUCUUCAAAACAUUACAACAGUUGCACCUUUGUCACCCAGGCUGGAGUGCAAUGGUGUGAUCUUGGCUCACUGUGCAACCUCCGCCUCCUGGAUUCAAGCGAUUCUCCUGCCUCAGCCUCCUGAGUAGCUAGGAUUGCAGGGGGAAGGACGCACCCUGUUAUGAAUCUGAUACUGAUAUUUAUGAGACUGUGGCUGCUGCAACAUCAGAAUCCACUACUGUAGAGCCUGGCAAGCUGGAUGUGGGAGCCACGGAGGGCCAAGACCUGCAGCACAUCAGCAACCAAAAGAUGCCCACAGGUCCCCCUGAGGACCGCCUGAGUUUAAAAUUUCUGCCAUCAAGUGAGGAAGACAAUGAUGAUGCCAAGAUUUUACCAUCACCUGUCCAGG